rnacentral:rRNA from 1 species
UGGGGAAUUUUGUGCAAUGGGCGAAAGCCUGACACAGCGACACCGCGUGAGCGAAGAAGCCCUUUGGGGUGUAAAGCUCUGUCGGCUGGAACGAAAAAAAUGACGGUACCAGCAAAGGAAGCAUCGGCUAACUACGUGCCAGCAGCCGCGGUAAGACGUAGGAUGCAAGCGUUGUCCGGAUUCAUUGGGCGUAAAGCGUUCGUAGGCGGUUUGUCAAGUCUGAUGUUAAAUAUCGGGGCCCAACCCCGGGAGUGCAUUGGAAACUGGCAGACUGGAGUGCGGUAGAGGUAAGUGGAAUUUCCAGUGUAGCGGUGAAAUGCGUAGAUAUUGGAAAGAACACCAGUGGCGUAAGCGACUUACUGGGCCGUAACUGACGCUGAGGAACGAAAGCCAGGGGAGCAAAUGGGAUUAGAUACCCCCGUAGUCC